AGUGAACGCUGGCGGUAGGCCUUACACAUGCAAGUCGAACGGCAGCACAGCAAGGGCUUCCUCUUUCAGGUCGCGAGUCGAGGGCGGGUGUGGUAUACCUCGGCAUCUCUUUUUUCGUGGGGGAAAAUGUAGGGAGACAUACUCAUAUACCAUAUUCGCCCUACGGGUGAACGCAGGGCAUUUUCGGCCUUCGCUCGAUUAACUGCCGCGAUGUCGGAUUAGCUAGUUGGCGGGGUAAAGGCCCACCAAGGCGACGAUCCGUAGCUGGUCUGAGAGGAUGAUCAGCCACACUGGAACUGAGACACGGUCCAGACUCCUACGGGAGGCAGCAGUGGGGAAUAUUGGACAAUGGGCGCAAGCCUGAUCCAGCCAUGCCGCGUGGGUGAAGAAGGCCUUCGGGUUGUAAAGCCCUUUUGUUUGGGAAGAAAUGCAGCAGUUUAAUACCGGGUGUUUCUGACGGUACCAAAAGAAUAAGCACCGGCUAACUUCGUG
rnacentral:rRNA from 1 species